CGGAGAUAUAUGGAGCUUGCUUUAUAUAACUCUUAAAAGAACGGGUGAGUAACACGUAGAUAAUCUAUCCUAUACUGGGGGAUAGCCCGAUGAAAGUUGGAUUAUUUCCGAAAAUAGCUAUAUAGUUGCAUGAUUAUGUAGUGAAAGAUUUAUUGGUAUAGGAGGAGUCUGCGGCACAUUAGCUAGUAGGUGAGGUAAAGGCUUACCUAGGCGACGAUGUGUAGCCGGUCUGAGAGGAUGAACGGCCACAAUGGAGCUGAGACACGGUCCAUACUCCUACGGGAGGCAGCAGUGGGGAAUAUUGCACAAUGGGGGAAACCCUGAUGCAGCUUUUUUUUGUGAGUGAAGAAGGUUUUCGGAUUGUAAAGCUCUGUUAGCAGGGAAGAGGAUUUUUUGUACCUGCAGAGGAAGCCACGGCUAACUACGUGCCAGCAGCCGCGGUAAUACGUAGGUGGCGAGCGUUGUUCGGAAUAACUGGGCGUAAAGGAUGCGUAGGCGGUUAAACAAGUUAUAUGUUAAAUAUAUAGGCUUAACCUGUAGAAAGCAUAUAAAACUGUUUAACUAGAGUGCAGGAGAGGUAAGUGGAAUUCCUAGUGUAUCGGUGGAAAUUGCGUAAAGAUUAGGAAGAACACCAGUGACGAAGGCGACUUACUGGACUGUAACUGACGCUGAGGCAUGAGAGCAUGGGGAGCAAACAGGAUUAGAUACCCUGGUAGUCCAUGCUGUAAACGAUGGGUACUAGGUGUGGGUUGUGAAUAACAAUUCGUGCCGUCGCAAACGCAAUAAGUACCCCGCCUGAGGAGUACGAUCGCAAGAUUAAAACUCAAAGGAAUUGACGGGGACCCGCACAAGCAGCGGAGCAUGUGGUUUAAUUCGAAGCAACGCGAAGAACCAUACCUAAACUUGACAUACCUUGAAUUACCUUGUAAUGAGGGAAGCUCGCAAGAGCAAGGAUACAGGUGGUGCAUGGUUGCCGUCAGCUCGUGUCGUGAGAUGUUGGGUUAAGCCCCGCAACGAGCGCAACCCUUGUUGUUAAUUGCUAACAGGUUAAGCUGAGCACUUUAGCGAGACAGCCUAGGUUAACUAGGAGGAAGGUGGGGAUGACGUCAAAUCAUCAUGCCCCUUACGUUUAGGGCUACACACGUGCUACAAUGGUGAGAACAGAGAGAAGCAAGCUAGUGAUAGUGAGCAAAACUUAUAAAACUCAUCUCAGUUCGGAUUGCAGGAUAAAACUCGCCUGUAUGAAGAUGGAGUUGCUAGUAAU
rnacentral:rRNA from 1 species